rnacentral:rRNA from 1 species
ACCCAAUAGAUACCCAGGUAGUCCACGCCGUAAACGUUGGGCACUAGGUGUGGGCUCCAACCAACGGAGUCCGUGCCGUCGCUAAACGCAUUAAGUGCCCCGCCUGGGGAGUACGGCCGCAAGGCUAAAACUCAAAGGAAUUGACGGGGCCCCGCACAAGCAGCGGAGCGUGUUGCUUAAUUCGAUGCGACGCGAAGAACCUUACCUGGGCUUGACAUGCAGGGAAAAGCCGUAGAGAUACGGUGUCCUUCGGGGCCGUUGCACAGGUGGUGCAUGGCUGUCGUCAGCUCGUGUCGUGAGAUGUUGGGUUAAGUCCCGCAACGAGCGCAACCCUUGUCCUAUGUUGCCAGCGGAUCAUGCCGGGGACGUCGUAGGAGACUGCCGGGGUCAACUCGGAGGAAGGUGGGGAUGACGUCAAGUCAUCAUGCCCCUUAUGUCCAGGGCUGCAAACACGCUACAAUGGCCGGUACAAAGGGCUGCUAUCCCGCGAGGGUGAGCGAAUCCCAGAAAGCCGGUCUCAGUUCGGAUUGGAGU